UACGAAGGGGGCUAGCGUUGCUCGGAAUCACUGGGCGUAAAGGGUGCGUAGGCGGGUCUUUAAGUCAGGGGUGAAAUCCUGGAGCUCAACUCCAGAACUGCCUUUGAUACUGAAGAUCUUGAGUUCGGGAGAGGUGAGUGGAACUGCGAGUGUAGAGGUGAAAUUCGUAGAGAUCGGGAGGAACACCAGUGGCGAAGGCGCCUAUCUGGCUGACAACUGACGCUGAGACUCGAAAGCAUGGGGAGCAAACAGG
rnacentral:rRNA from 1 species